rnacentral:rRNA from 1 species
GAUGAACGCUGGCGGCGUGCCUAAUGCAUGCAAGUCGAGCGAACGGACGAGAAGCUUGCUUCUCUGAUGUUAGCGGCGGACGGGUGAGUAACACGUGGAUAACCUACCUAUAAGACUGGGAUAACUUCGGGAAACCGGAGCUAAUACCGGAUAAUAUUUUGAACCGCAUGGUUCAAAAGUGAAAGACGGUCUUGCUGUCACUUAUAGAUGGAUCCGCGCUGCAUUAGCUAGUUGGUAAGGUAACGGCUUACCAAGGCAACGAUGCAUAGCCGACCUGAGAGGGUGAUCGGCCACACUGGAACUGAGACACGGUCCAGACUCCUACGGGAGGCAGCAGUAGGGAAUCUUCCGCAAUGGGCGAAAGCCUGACGGAGCAACGCCGCGUGAGUGAUGAAGGUCUUCGGAUCGUAAAACUCUGUUAUUAGGGAAUAACAUAUGUGUAAGUAACUGUGCACAUCUUGACGGUACCUAAUCAGAAAGCCACGGCUAACUACGUG